AGUGGGAGUUCCGUACCUAUCAUUAAAAUUACAUUUGUCAGAUCUACUUGUAAUAUUCUGUAGGUAGGUACCUACCAUCAGGGAACAAUGUAAUUUCUAUGAAAACCCAUUUUGUAUUUAAAAUGUAAAAUUUCUUGAUAAUUAGGUACAGGAAGAAAAUAAUGGUUCCUCUACCUACUUAGCUACGUCUUAUUAUAGAAAUUUUGGUCUGAAACACGUCGUUUUUUCUGUUACUGUUACUUCAUUCAAUGCAGAUGAAGAAGAACCAUUGACCAAUUUGACCAUACGUAGUUUCCUGUUUGUUUGCUUCCUGUUAACAAUAAAAACAUCGACACAUCUGAAACGAGGUGUAUAAAAGGUUUAGUGGGAAAUGACUGUUGUUCUUCUUUUGUGUUGUAAUUAGUCUAGUCUAGUCUAGUCUCUAGUCUACGGUACUGUCUGCUGCAAGUCAAAUUUUACUUGAUAUGAAUACAAUCAUCGACCAUUGGGCUCGAUAUGGUUAGGUCGAGAUCUGCUUCUGUCCUCAGUUUCAGUUUACCAGUACGUCUUAGUCGACUAUCAUUAAAUGUACAUAUUUUGAGUGCUUCGUGUUUUCUGAUUAUUCUCAAUAACUGCAUAGGACUUUCGUUUGGUGAAGAUUCAGAAUUUAAUAUUAGAUACAGUAUUUGAAUUCUCAUUUGCUGCGAAUAUUCGUGAAUACUUCCCUGAUCAAAAAAAAAAUGGUUUCCUUGGUCAAGAAGGUAGCCACGAUGUCAAUCGUGGAUGAUAGUAAGAAAAAUGUAAUCGUUUUCAACUCAACUCCAGAAUCAUUGAUGGCAAUGGCCGGUGCAAAAUUGGCUAUAAUGUGUUGGUGUCGGUAUUGCUUGCAUAUGCAUAAAAAUACCAUGAACGCAUGCCCAACAGUCGAAAUAUAUAAGCUAGAAUUCAGCUGCACUUGUAUGUUACAUGUUCCAAUUCCAAAAUCUAUUGCGAAGAUAAUUGAUUUUUAUAUAAAACUAAUCAGGUGUCAGCUGCGGAUAUCGAUAGCUGAUUGCGAGUCGACUAAGAAUAAUUCUAUAAGCGGAACUAUGAUGCGUGUUUUUGAUGGUUCGAUUACCGUAAUUAAUGGCGUACCUUUGAAAUACGUAAAUGACUAGUUGGAUGAUGGUUCUCGUAUCUACACGAUCGGAAUGCUGCUAGAUUAAAAUUCUGAUUUUGAGGAUUUUCAUUUUUCGCACCCUCUUGGAAAUUUCCAUCUAGAAUGCUGAGCGGAUGUCAUAAAAACAGUACCUAUGUCCACUAUUCAAAUUAGAGAUUUUUUGGCGUAUCGGUGUUAUUGAAGAGACGUCAAUGACUGAAGCUUUGUUUCAAAAAAUGCGUGUGGUAUGUGUUGUGUUCUUGUUUAGUUUUUUUAAAAAUUGUUAAGGGUUUGAAAGACCAGGCUAGGUAUCUGAUAUUCAUUUUUAUUAGGUAGGUCUAUUUUUGAUUUAGGGUUUAAUAGGAACUGGAACUGGGUAGAUGCCAUUUAUUUAUUAUUAUUCAUCAUUCAUGUACAUAGGUUAUAAGUCUGUACAGCUUAUUGGAUAUUAUUAAAUCAUUAGUGUGAUGAUUUUUGAAUUAGGUAUGUAGGUAUGUACGUGCUUAUACCUAACAUAUGUAUUGUGUGUUUCUAGAACAAGUGAAUGAGGCUAGUUUUUCAUGUUGCUUUUUCAAUCAUUACUUACUAAAAAAAUAUUGAACUACCUUCUGUUUAGUGUUAAUAGCUUUUUAUGCUCUACAUAAAGGGUGAAAUUUCAUUUUUCGCUCAACUUGAUACUUGAUGACAAAAAUAAUGUGAUACCUACUAGUUAACUUUACUCAUAAAAAAUGGUCACAAAAAGUAAACCAAUAAAAUCAUUCGUUGAAUAUU